CCUACGGGCGGCAGCAGUGGGGAAUAUUGGGCAAUGGGCGAAAGCCUGACCCAGCAACGCCGCGUGAAGGAAGACGGCUCUCGGGUUGUAAAAUUCUUUUGAGAGGGGAGAGCAGAAGACGGUACCGGUCGAAUAAGCUACGGCUAACUACGUGCCAGCAGCCGCGGUAAUACGUAGGUGGCAAGCGUUGUCCGGAUUUACCGGGUGUAAAGGGCGUGUAGCCGGGCUGACAAGUCAGAUGUGCAAUCCUGGGGCUCAACCGCCGAACUGCAGUUGAAACUGUUGGUCUUGAGUAUCGGAGGGGCAGGCGGAAUUCCUGGUGUAGCGGUGAAAUGCGUAGAUAUUAGGAGGAACACCGGUGGCGAAGG
rnacentral:rRNA from 1 species